rnacentral:rRNA from 1 species
GUGGGGAAUAUUGCACAAUGGGCGCAAGCCUGAUGCAGCAACGCCGCGUGAGGGAAGACGGUUUUCGGAUUGUAAACCUUUGUCUUUGGUGAAGAAGAAAGUGACGGUAACCAAGGAGGAAGCCACGGCUAACUACGUGCCAGCAGCCGCGGUAAUACGUAGGUGGCAAGCGUUGUCCGGAAUUACUGGGUGUAAAGGGAGCGCAGGCGGGACUGCAAGUUGGAUGUGAAAUACCGAGGCUCAACCUCGGGGCUGCAUCCAAAACUGUAGUUCUUGAGUGAAGUAGAGGUAGGCGGAAUUCCGAGUGUAGCGGUGAAAUGCGUAGAUAUUCGGAGGAACACCAGUGGCGAAGGCGGCCUACUGGGCUUUAACUGACGCUGAGGCUCGAAAGUGUGGGGAGCAAACAGGA